GCUGCCGGGGGAUUGGGCGAGCCGUCCCCGGGGCUGCCGCUGGCCGGAGCCGCUGGAAAGUGUGUGCAGUGCCUCGGUCUGGAGAGCCCCGUGCCCUCCUAGGCAGCCGCCGGCUCUGGCCUUAGCAGCCCCCGGGCCCGGCAGGGACGUACCCAAGCUUUCUUUCCUGCGCUCUCCGAGUUGGUCUUUUUGCCCUCCUGGCAGGCGCCGCCGGGGCGGCAGCCAAAACCCACGCGUCGCUGCUUUGCCUCUUGCCUCUCGCCUCUCGUACAUCUUCUCUUGGGCAGGCGCUGUGUCGCUCCCAGCUGCACCCCUUCGCCGAGGGGUCAGGCGUGUGUCCUGGUGCUGAGGCCAGGGACUACUUUGGUGUCAGAAAUGUGCUUGUGAGAACAAAGUGACACCACUCUACAUCAGAAGAACAGCGGGGACAGAGACACCAAACGUUUAAAAGCAGCAAAGCUGUCCUUUUUUUUUUCAAAAGUAAAACCAUCGGAACUGUGUGAUUUCGAAGUUGCCAGUGUUGAACUGAAGGGAUGGCGGGCGCUGUUGGCUGCAGGGGCCAGGGCCGGGCAGGGGAAGGCAGCUCUGAGCUGCCGUGCCCUUCAGCGCUUCCCUCACACCGCCUGUGCCGGACGCGGGAGCUCCGCUGCGGGGCCGGCUCCUCACCGAGGCCCGCCUCUGCUCAGUGGGGAACGGGGCACGUCUUUCCAGGCGCCGCCUGAAAUAGCUCAAGUCAACUUUGUUGUUAAUGUAAAUUUCGGGAGUCGUGGGCGGGUUCUUAAACAGGCACAUACAACAUUGCCUUUGUGUAUCUUGGUUCCCUUGCUGUCAAACUAGAAAAGGCAAAACCCCGUAAUCAAACGAAAGUAUUUUGGAAAGUAUUCCUUGGUGAACCACUGCUGGCAACUGAUUUGAUAUUUUACGCUUUUCAGCGAAGUCCUGAACCACAACUUGAAGUAAAGGGAUUAAAAUAAAAAAACACCGAAUGUUCACUGAACUGUGCAAAGAGAUAAAGACUACGUCUGCCUAAUUAGAGAGAGUUUACUAAGACAUUUUAAUUGUUGUUUAGAAAAUCCCCUAGAAUUCCUGAGGAGCCGGGGGCAGCGGCCCGCCCCACGCCUGAGGUGCCAGCAGCGUUUGCUGCAGGACGUCUCUCGCACGGAGCCGCCGGCAGAGGGAGAUGGGAUCCGCCUGUCCUGGAGCCUCGGACACUCGCUGGUGGCUGAGACCUUUCAAAAGCCCUUCAACCCACCAGGAGGAAUGAUACAAGACUUGGAAGACUUAUAUUUGGCUCCCACUCUGCCAAAAAUAUCACAUAUAAUUUCCUAUAAGCUGUAUGGAUUCUGUUUGAAGCCCUAUGCUGAUAAGGCAAUACAGAAGAGUUUUGGAUACAGUGCUGCAGUCAUUCUUACCUUCAGCUAUUCCCUCUGCUAAAAAGUCAUUGAGUAGAUCGAAGAAAAUCUGCUUUGAUAUCUGUGUGCCUUUUGAGGGCUUUAGGAGCACACCCCAAGAAGAUUCCUAAUUCCUGUGCUUCAGCAGAACCGAUUCAGGCUAUUCACGAGACAGCAAAUUAGCUGAAGGUUUCCAUGAAAAUAUGCUACUGGUUUGAGGAUGCUUCAACUUUAAUUUUACAUGCACACUGGAACAAAGAAACAUGCCUGAUAGGAGUAAGGAAAGGAAGUGAAAGGAAACAAUAAAAGCAAACAUGGUAGUUAUGAACUUAAACCCAGAUGAAAAAAGGUUUAAACAGUCCCCUGGUUAUGCAAUAUAUUUAAAAAUAUAAUCUAAUAAAGGAAUAAUUUUUUGCUCAUUGUUUUUUAGUACAAAAAAAAAGCUAAGUAAUGUAGUAGCAUGCAGAUCAGCACAGAAGCUGGAGGAAUGAGUCUCCAGUAAAAGUAUGGCCUGAAAUGCAAAUGAUUUUAAAACAAAUUUGUCUGUUUAAAAAAUGAGUAAGUCUAUUUUUAGGUAACCACAAUGCAGAGUGGGAUGGAUACAAAUUAUCUCGUAGUUGAUCAAAAGGUAGGUAAUGGUAUGUACUGCUGCAUUCUGAAGAAACUGAAAAUAGGAAAUAACUUUAGUAAUAUGCCUCUGGGCAGCUGAAGUUGGCAUGACAGACAAAAUGAGUCUGAAGCCAAGAAACAGGCUAAGACAGAUUUGGGCUGCCCAACCUACCUCCUGUUAACAGAAAAAGUCAAGUCAAAGAGUUCAAGUGUUUUCCAAUGAUGAUGGAGCUGACAGCAGAAACAGUUCAAGUAGUAUAGCACUAAGAUAGGUUUUAGUGGGCAUGGUGCAUUAGGUUAAAGGUUGGACUUGAUCUUGGAAGUUUUUUCCAGCCUUAAUGAUUCUUAAUUCUUAGUGGUUAGAUGGAUUACAAGCAUGUAGUGGAAAAACAGGUGAGAAAACUGAUAUGGUAAUCACAAAAAGUAGAAUUGAAUAUUAAAUUAUGAGGCAGAUUAAAGAAAUUAAUAGCUUUAGUGUAGCUAUAUUGUUUGAAUCAAAACCACCUCAAAGUCAGAGAAUGAUAGAAAAAUUCUAUUAGUUUCGUGAGUCUGUAGGAUAUUGUAGGGUUGAAUUUGCAUAUUAAAAGGGAUCUUUUUAAAGAAUUUUAUGUUUUAACAUUCUGUGCGUGGUUAAAGCUUUUAAGUACUACUAGGAGUUGUGACCAUAUGGGUGGGCAGCCCUGCAUAUGGAAGUAUUUAACUUCUUCAGAAUAAAUUGGAGAACAAAUGUUGAUAGUACUGGUUAUUUCUGCUGAUAAUAGCUGACAGUUUUUUAACUUCAUCAAUAAGGCUUCAUUUAAGUAAUGAAGAUAUUCUAGAUGAGCUGAUUGAGGAAUGUAUGAUAUGUGGUUCAGAUAAAAUUAAAUGACAAGAGGAAAAGAAAUCUGUGUGUAACUGAGGAUUUCAAAGCUCAAUACUCUACAGGUGUGAAUCAAUCUACCAAAGAAGCCCUGAAACUUAAAUGCGGAAAAGGUCUGGAACUUCCUUAUUCAGAAGCUUUAACACUCUCUGGCCUUAAUACCUGUAACAAAGAAAGAAGCGUAGAAAUAAUUUAACUGCAUCAAUAGCCAAAUAAUUAAAAGUAAAUUAGCAGAAUGAAAAAAGACUGACAGGCAUACACAAAAGAGUUAGAGAAGGAUAGGAGUAAGGUGAAUUGAAGUCAAGCAGAGCCAGACCUUGCACUGGAUAUUAAACAUGACAAAAUUAGUCAGCCUUAAGCAAGCAGUUUCAAGAAACAAACCACUAAGAAUAACAUGUAGUCACUGUUCAGAGAUUAAAUGUAUUGCCUUAAAGAUAAUGAAAUGUGUUAUUCUGUCUUCAUUACAGGCAUUGGUGCUGAUUAUGGUGAGAAUUGGAGGUUGUGUAGUAGGAAUAAGUCCACAGGCUUAAUAAAAAUCAUCACAACCAAGAUCCAAGCAGUUUGAUGGAGUGAAGGAUGGCGAUCAGUAAUUCCUUGGCCAGAGAGAUACUGGCUCAUGAAGUCUCAUAUCUGACUAUGUGACAGCAAAUACACAGUGAUUAGGGAGAAAGACUGAAGAUCCAAGUGGUUAUAGGUGCACUAGUCCUACUUUGAGGCUUGAGAACAACUUUUGAAGACAAGCUUUCCUGUACCUGCAAAUAAAUGCUUGACUGAUUCCAGCUUUGGUUAUAGACAUCGGCUGUCACAGGACUGCCAGUGUUGGCAGUGCUGCAGGCAGUGCACACACACUCCUCCCCAGAGACCAUGUGUUCUUGAGGGCCAGUUUAUCCCAACUUUGGGCUGGAGUGCAUCUGUACAAUUUGGAUCUUUAGGUAGCAUUAGACUUUUUUUUUUUUAAGUGUCUGAGCAUGGCUCAAUCUAGAAAUUAUUCUUAUUUCCUUGCCUGUAAUUUAAUUUUCAUGCAUACUGGGCAGAUCAAGAUUUGCACAAAUAUGAAUUUCAGUUGUAGGCUAAGAUUUUCUCAUACAAUGCACCAAAACUUAAUAUAGGUGCAGAAUUGACAUGGAGUUUUUGUGAGAUUCCCCUCCCACUGACUUAGGAGCGCAGUGAACUCUGAAGUGAUCUUUACUUUCUUCUUGAGAAUGAGAAAGACUCUGAAGAACACACGAAUCUACAAAGAUUUUCAUAUAAGAAUCAAGUCUACUGGAUGAAUUUCAAAUUUUAUCCUGUAAGGGAAAAGGAAUGCCUUAAAGUCUCAGUAUGGAUUCAGAAGGCACUGGCCAGUCAUUGUCUCACCUGGUGUGGAUCUGUGGGAGUUUUGGUAUGGGCAAUCUUCCUCAGAGCAGCUCUGGUGACACCAGGCUUCAACACUGACCACUCCCACCUUAGGAGUGUUCCCAUCAGGCUGUUCCUGCCUCUGCCUGACGCAUCAGCUACUCUGGUGUUUCCCAAUUAUGACUAGAACUUGUCUAUUGAAUCUUGAUGGCAUCUUUCAGAUUUCUCUAAAUUAGCUCCUGAAAGAAGCUGCUCCUGCAACAAAACAAUGGCAAAGUGAUUUUGGAGUAAUUUUCAGAUUGUGGUUUAUAACUGCAUUGCACCUCAGAAAUAGCUUGUCCCAGUGGGCAUGGCUUUUUCUGCUAUCCCUAUCUCUCAUAUAUCAAAUUAUGGAUUGUUAUACAAAAGUUGUAUCUCUGUCUUAUUUAUUGAAGUGUUGGUUCACUAAAUAAAGGAUCUCAACAGUGAUUUGAGCUGGCUGAAAACCUGCUUGAAAUUUAUGUAUUUCAGUGAAAGGUUUUCAACAAGCUCUAUUUCUGAAGCUAAAGUACUUCAAUACCCAAUGACCAAAUUCAUUAAAAUAUAAAUUAGCCUAAAGAAACAUAUGAAUCACAAUGGUAUAUUUUCAUAUCAUCUAUUUGGUCUGCCUAUAACAGUUUCUUCAUGUGGACUAACAGCUACAGCAAUCUUCACAACCACAGAGUUGAAUAAAUGACUGUGGGGUGAAUGAGAAAGCAAAGAGGACAAGGAUGAAAAUUCUGCUGAAUAAGAAAGAACACUGAAGAAUUCUGAAACUGAAAUUAAAACCCUUGUUAAACCAGUUUCCCUCACUAAGACAUGUCUUAGCUAAUCAAUUAGCAUUGACUGUCUCAGUAUUCUAAUAAUAGGAAAGGAUUUAAGGAAAUGUCAUGUUUCGUUUGUAUUUUCAGAACUGUAGAUAAUUACUGAUUAUGGCACAAGAGUGAAUAUCAUCUAGGAAAUAAAGGUGAAGAGGGUGGAAUGAGAAUGUCUUAUCUCAGGGGGAGUUAAAUGAUCCUCCUGCAGUAAGACCUUUGCAUCCUCCAAAGGCAGCAGCAGAAAUUUCUCAUAAAGUUUGACCUGUUGUUCUGUAAGUAAUAUAUCUGAGACUCCAAUACAGAGUAUCUUGUCAAUUCCUUUUAAUAAAUGAAACUGAACUGAUACAGUAGCUCAGGUAGUUUCUCUGAUCUGUACCAGUUCUCUGGUCUAUGCCUUCACAUGUAUUUCCAUGAAUUGUUGAUACACUUGGUCAGUGAGUUUUCUGUGACUUCAAAGCUAAGCCUUUCACUUUGCUUUGUAUAAAACAUGCCCAGAAGCUGGAUUCUGAAGAAAAUAAGUAGAGGGAAAAAUAUUGAUUUUAGAUGUUAGGAUAAUCUAAGAAAAAUGGUUCAAAAAUAAAAGAAGAGUGGAAACCCCUUUUUCUUUCUUUUUCUUUUUAUUUUUUCAUUUUUAUUUUAUAUAUUUGUCAUUUGUUGCAAAUACUUCCCAAAAAAUUCUUUUGUAGUGAAGUAAUUAGCUCCAUAUAAAUGCAAACAGUAAAUGCAAGUAUUGCAUUUGUGACAUCCAGAAAGUGCUUUGGCAUUCUUAAGAGAUAAUGUUCUACAUCUCUUCAUCUUUGCAGGGGAAAGAAGGAAGAAAGCAUUGGUUUGUUUUCAAGAAUGAUGGGCAUCAGGUUAAUUCUUGGAUUUUCUGAAAAGGCUUAUGUUUGGUAUCAUAGAGCACAAACUUGAUUAGCUCUAAUGUAAUUUGUUAGUUUUUUUGAUGCAACUCAGUGUAUGUCAUUGUGCAUUGCUCUGAUCAAGUAAUGUUAGGGAGACAGUCAAAAGAGCCAAUUAGUCACAGAUUUAUGCCCUUUCUAGAAGUGGCUAGAACAUUUUGAAUCCUAUAGGAGAAUAGACCUUUACACUUCUAACUCACCUAGAAUAUCUUUAAAAAUAUGACCUUUAAUAUAAUCCCAUCUUUCUGAACGGCUUAAGGGGUCAUCCUAGCAUUUCCAGAUAAAUUUGGACACAAAUAAAAUGAGGAACUACUGAGUUCUCUUCCAACUGAGAAAGAGUAAAUCAUAAGAUGUGAAAAAAAGUUCCAUGACUAAAGCUUUUAAAAAAUGCAAUUUUACUGUAUUAUCAUAUCUCACUAGUCCUUCAGUCACAUGAGAACACAAAGCAUGUAAGUAACCUAAGUAUGACUAUUGCUGCUCUUUAGAAAAAUGGUUCAAUAAUUCAUUGACCUCCUAUUGCUUAAGUUUGCCAUCUAAAAUAUAAUCCUCCUUUUACUUGAUAUUGUCAAUUUUUUUCAUGAGUGGAAGAGUUUUUAAUAUUCAAUUUGGUAGCAUUUGAAAUCAGCCUGAAAUAGACAAUUUUAUGAGAGUUUUAUAAACUUCAUUUAAACUGAAUCCAAGGAAAUGUGGAAAGAAGUAUUGCGGAUGAGUAAUUUUUAAGGAAUUGGGAGGAAGAGACACCAUUAUGUAAAGGAAUGUUUAGUAUCAAAGCAUAUAAAUAGCUUUAGCUGACAGCAGAACAAUAACUUCAAAAGUUAACAAAUCAUUCUCAAAUUUUGAUAGAAAAUGAAGCUAGAAAAAGAAAGCUAGAUUUAUUCCAUUCUGAAGAUAAGAAAGGCUGUUUUAAUUGUGAUUUUUAAGGAUUUUUCAGACAUGCUCAACUUUUGAUUUCAGUGUUUUUAAUCCUGAUUUGCACUAAUAAAAACUAGGUGCAAAUGAAGGCUGAUGAGUCUGUAUUGAAGUUAAACGAAUAGUUGAAAAUGUGUAUGAAUAUUCAUUUAAAUUCAGAAAUUAAGUCCAAAUUGAUCAUGCUUAUGACUUUGCUCUCUACAAGCAUACAUGCACUUGAAAUUAACUUUCAUGAAUAUUUGCAAAAGCAAAUUUUCAACUAGAUAUUUCAUAUACUUGCAGAAAAUAAUUUUUCAGUGAUAUAUUUAAUUGUGAAAUUUGGAUUUUACAUCAUGCUGCUUGAUAUUUGUGAUCUGUUCUGUGGGACUGCAUGUUUGAAGGCCUUCAGGAAGGCUUAAGCUGGAUGGAAUGCUUUGGAAAACCCUUACCUUGUGAAUUACAGGAUUCAUCAAGAAGCAGAAACAAAUUAGAAUAUACAAGAAAAUAAGAAACUGUGCUGAUUUCCAAUUUUCAAUUGAGGAUUUUAAAAAAAAAAUAUAUUGAAUAUUGUACUUCAUCAUGAAGUCAAUCUUAGAAGCCAACUUCUCCUCAUUUGUGCUGUCAGGCCAUGAUCACAGCCAAGUUCAGUGCAGAACUGAAUGUCCAAGCAGAAUAAUUUUAACGAAGUGGUUGUUUGGAUUUUUAACCAUUGAAGAUGAGGAUGGCGAUAGAUUGCAAAGGCUGAUAGUUUGGGGUAGCUUAGAAAAAGUGGCAUACAUGCAGUGACUGUCAUUGCAGCUCCAAAAUGCUAUGUGUGGUUUCAGUUAGAAGCUGACUUCACGUAAUAAGUCCUAGAUCUAAUAAGAUGUUUGUAUAAAACUGUUCUCAUGGUGAAUCCAGUUUAAACAUUAUCUAGAGCCCGCUGACUUGCAGGAAGAACUGAAGCUGAAAACAAUAUUCCUACUAAGGAACACAGUAGAAUCUCAGGAGGAGAAACCAACACCAGCAGGUGAGUUGAGAGGAUGUGGGCCUGUUUGGCACAGGUACUUUUGUCUUUCUAGAAACAAGGAGAAGCAGGAAGGACCCUUGACCCUUCCAUGGAUGCAGUGGGCUCAGUUCUGGCCAGAGCUGUGAUCCAUGGGGAGGCUCAGAGGAGAAGCUGCUGGUGGCCACAGCAGGCCAUGGGCCAGCCCAGGAAGGUAAGUUCUCCCACCUGGAACAAGGGAAAGGGGCUGCUCAGGAGGAGCAGCCGGAGUGAGGUUUGCAGCUGGCCUUAGCAGCCCCCUGUGCUACUAAUCUUGCAGGGGAGGAGAGGUCCUCAUUGAUAACUGCAGUCUAGGAAUGUACUUUUAAAUUUCAGUUUAGUUUUUAUUUUGUGAGUUCAUCCACUGUUGUGCGCAGGAGUGUAACCACUUAUUUUGUUACUGAAUUGUUACUAAAUUUUUAAAUACAAUACACUUUGCUCGACUAAAUGUGUCCUGGUUUCAUCUUUUACCUUGGUAACUGACGGCAUGUUCCCUAUGGCUGAUCCAGGGCACUUUAUUACUGGUGGAGCAAGGAAAUACACACACACACAGGUAUUCUCUCAGAGCAGGGGAGUGAUUUCCCACCUAGUUGCUGGAGCCAGCUUGAGGGCAGAUAACAGGCAGUGCUGGGUCAAUCUC